GUUUUAAUAGUUUAAAAAAACGUUGGUUUUGUAAACCAAAUAUAAGAACAAGCCCCCACUUUUAAAACU
rnacentral:tRNA from 1 species